GUGAAAGUGAAUAAAAUAGGGCGCGCGUGGAGGAGUGAAAGAGAAAUGUAAACCGAGGCUUGGGAAUCGGACAAGUCUAGUUCGUGAUCGUUGAUUAUUAUAAGAUUUUUUUUCAUUUUUAGGUAAUAGGAGUUUUGCGGUGGUGGUGUUUGGUUACGAGGGUAAAGGCGUCCUGUAUCUGUAAUAGCAGAAGAUGACGACGACGACGACGACGACAGUGGUGUUAGACGAGGAAGACGAGAACUUAGCUCACUUCCUCGAAUCCGAGGUUCUUUCUGUCUCCGACCAGGAAGAUGGGAAAACAGUAGAGGAAGAGCCAAACGCAAAAAGAGCGAAGCUUGUUGAUAAAGAUAACGAGGAGGAGGACAACAACAACAACAACAAGCGAAACAACGUUGUUCCAAAGAGGAUAGAGAGUGGGAUUUUCAGCAAAGUCCCAUCAGAACUCUUUCCUCACAUCCUUAAAUUCCUGUCUUCCGAGGAUCUUGUAGCUUGCUCACUUGUCUGCCGUUUCUUGAAUUAUGCGGCAUCUGAUGAGUUUUUGUGGCGUCGCUUGUACUGUAUGAGAUGGGGUCUGUUGCCCCCUACAAAAAAGUUACGGCAAUGUCCUUGGAAACAGCUUUAUAUUCAGCGCGAUGAAGAGGACAUGAUUGAACUUGUUAGAGAUUGCCAACCUGAGUUUAAAGAGUACUACAUUCAAAUGCAAGCGGCCAAGAGAAGCCAAGCACCUCUUCCUUCACAGGUGAAUGAUGACCGAAUAAUUCUUGAUAAGACAGUGGCUGAUCAAGUGUCUAUGUGGAAAAGCAGCAGGGGCCUGACUGAUAAGGUGGUCACUGACCAUGCUUGUUCUGGAGAAACAUGUUCUUACUACCAUAUUGGAGAUGUAUUUAUUUGUGAGAAGACUGGACUUGUACACGUCUGUGAUGAUGCAUGCAGAGAAAUUGUUAUGGAUCCCACCGAUGAGAUUUUGGUCUGUAAAAUAUCUGGGCAUUGUUUUGAUAGGCUACUUUCAGCAGCUGAAAUGGAUCCAGAUACUAAAGUACACGUGGGUGUCACAUGGCCAAGAAUGCUGCUCAAUUCAAUGGCUAGAUGCCCUGUUUUCUAGUGCCAAAAACUGGGCAUUAAGCCUUCUUAUUCAUAUAGUGUUUGACUGGAUCAUCAACUUCAUGAUCAAGUCCGCCAUGUUUUCCACCAAUUUCUUUGUAUGGCUCAACAGUUCAACUUCAACUGGAUUGUGGUAUGUGGGACCCUUUUGGUAGAAGGAACAGGAACAGCAACAAUGUGGUGUUACUGAUGAAGCAGAGCCAUUCAUGGGCUCCGGUCGUUUUGCACGAGCUUAUCUGUUGGGAU